ensembl:snRNA U2 U2 spliceosomal RNA
AUCGCUUCUCGGCCUUUUGGCUAAGAUCAAGUGUAGUAUCUGUUCUUAUCAGUUUAAUAUCUGAUAUGUUCUCUAUAUGAGAACUUUAUAUUAAGCGGAUUUUUAGAGCAGGGAGUCGGAAAAGGGGCUUGCUCCGUCCGCUCCACGCAUCGGCCUGGUAUUGCAGUACCUCCAGGAACGGUGCACCUUUU